rnacentral:rRNA from 1 species
AUUGAACGCUGGCGGAAUGCUUUACACAUGCAAGUCGAGCGGCAGCGCGGGGGCAACCCUGGCGGCGAGCGGCGAACGGGUGAGUAAUACAUCGGAACGUGUCCUUGAGUGGGGGAUAGCUCGGCGAAAGCCGGAUUAAUACCGCAUAAGCUCUGCGGAGGAAAGCGGGGGACUGGUAACGGCCUCGCGCUGUUGGAGCGGCUGAUGUCGGAUUAGCUAGUUGGUGGGGAAAGGCCCACCAAGGCGACGAUCCGUAGCUGGUCUGAGAGGAUGAUCAGCCACACUGGAACUGAGACACGGUCCAGACUCCUACGGGAGGCAGCAGUGGGAAUUUUGGACAAUGGGGGCAACCCUGAUCCAGCCAUUCCGCGUGAGUGAAGAAGGCCUGGUGUAAG